GACGAACGCUGGCGGCGUGCUUAACACAUGCAAGUCGAGCGACGCUCUUCCUUCGGGGUGAUGACGGAGCGGCGAACGGGUGAGUAACACGCGGGCAACCUGCCCCUAGCACUGUGACAACACUGGGAAACCGGUGCUAAUACCGGAUACGACAUCUAGCGGCAUCUCUUGAUGUGGAAAGUUUUUUCGGGUAGGGAUGGGCCCGCGCCCUAUCAGCUUGUUGGGGGGGUAAUGGCCCAGCAAGGCGACGUCGGGUAGCCGGCCUGGGAGGGCGACCGGCCAGGCAGGGAGUGAGACACGGCCCAGACACCUGCGGGAGGCGGCAGUGGGGAAGAUUGCGCAAUGGGCGAAAGCCGGACGCAGCGACGGCGCGUGAGGGAUGACGGCCUUCGGGUUGUAAACCUCUUUCAGCAGGGACGAAUUCAGACGGUACCUGCAGAAGAAGCACCGGCCAACUACGUG
rnacentral:rRNA from 1 species